UACGUAGGGAGCAAGCGUUGUCCGGAAUCAUUGGGCGUAAAGCGCGCGUAGGCGGCCCGAUAAGUCCGCUGUGAAAGUCAACGGCUCAACUGUUGGAUGCCGGUGGAUACUGUCGGGCUAGAGUACGGAAGAGGCAAGUGGAAUUCCUGGUGUAGCGGUGGAAUGCGCAGAUAUCAGGAGGAACACCUAUAGCGAAGGCAGCUUGCUGGGUCGAUACUGACGCUCAUGCACGAAAGCGUGGGGAGCAAACAGG
rnacentral:rRNA from 1 species